AAGUCGUAACAAGGUUUCCGUAGGUGAACCUGCGGAAGGAUCAUUAUUGAAUAGCUGGAUACACACUGUGAACCGUGCCUUCGGGUGAUACAAACGCGUAUGAGUACUUCAGAAUGUCGAAUACAAAUAAAUAUAACUUUUAACAACGGAUCUCUUGGCUCUC
rnacentral:misc_RNA from 1 species